rnacentral:lncRNA from 1 species
ACUGUUGAAGACCAUAUAAUCUAGUAGAAACUCUCUCUUGUGUACUGUUAGGUAUUUAAAUAAAAAUACAUAGUCUCAUCUAAGGACUUCUGAAAUUUUACUUUCAUCAGAUUCCUCCCCUGCCAUCAGAUGAUGACUGGUAAAUGUAGAGUCCUUUUUCCACAUAAUAAAGAACCGUGGAUUGGUGUCCUUUACAUGCUGCGAAAAGGCCUUGUAGAAGGCAAGAAGCUGCUGGAGGUGAGCCAAUGUAGUAAUCCAGAAGAAUUCAACUGUUAUGCGAAAAAGGUAGACUAAACCAGAGGUAAGCACUGACAAUUGUUAGAAAAGGUGUCCAAGUUAGUUGUAUUUUCAGCAUCAAGAUCAUUCUGCUAAUGCUAUCACCCAGCAGGCAAGAGAGAAAGCAGGCAUGGAUAGUGGACAGGAAUGGGUUGAUUUUUUCCAAGUUUGCUUGUGAAAUACAGGUCAGAAACAG